GAUGAACGCUGGCGGCGUGCCUAAUACAUGCAAGUCGAGCGAACAGACGAGGAGCUUGCUCCUCUGACGUUAGCGGCGGACGGGUGAGUAACACGUGGAUAACCUACCUAUAAGACUGGGAUAACUUCGGGAAACCGGAGCUAAUACCGGAUAAUAUAUUUAACCGCAUGGUUCAAUAGUGAAAGACGGUUUUGCUGUCACUUAUAGAUUGAUCCGCGCCGCAUUAGCUAGUUGGUAAGGUAACGGCUUACCAAGGCAACGAUGCGUAGCCGACCUGAGAGGGUGAUCGGCCACACUGGAACUGAGACACGGUCCAGACGCCUACGGGAGGCAGCAGUAGGGAAUCUUCCGCAAUGGGCGAAAGCUUGACGGAGCAACGCCGCGUGAGUGAUGAAGGUCUUCGGAUCGUAAAACUCUGUUAUUAGGGAAGAACAAAUGUGUAAGUAACUAUGCACGUAUUGACGGUACCUAAUCAGAAAGCCACGGCUAACUACGUG
rnacentral:rRNA from 1 species